rnacentral:rRNA from 1 species
UACGUAGGGUGCAAGCGUUGUCCGGAAUUAUUGGGCGUAAAGAGCUCGUAGGCGGUCUGUCGCGUCGGCUGUGAAAACCCGGAGCUCAACUCCGGGCCUGCAGUCGAUACGGGCAGACUGGAGUUCGGCAGGGGAGACUGGAAUUUACGGUGUAGCGGUGAAAUGCGUAGAUAUCGUAAGGAAGACCAGUGGCGAAGGCGGGUCUCUGGACAGUUCCUGACGCUGAGGCACGAAGGUCAGGGGAGCAAACGGG